rnacentral:rRNA from 1 species
UACGUAGGGGGCAAGCGUUGUCCGGAUUUAUUGGGCGUAAAGAGCGUGUAGGCGGCCAAGUAAGUCUGCUGUGAAAACUCGAGGCUUAACCUCGAGCUGUCGGCGGAAACCAUCUGGCUAGAGUCCGGAAGAGGAGAAUGGAAUUCCCGGUGUAGCGGUGAAAUGCGCAGAUAUCGGGAAGAACACCCGUGGCGAAGGCGGUUCUCUGGGACGGUACUGACGCUGAGACGCGAAAGCGUGGGGAGCGAACAGG